AACGAACGCUGGCGGCAUGCCUAACACAUGCAAGUCGAACGAGACCUUCGGGUCUAGUGGCGCACGGGUGCGUAACGCGUGGGAACCUGCCCUUAGGUUCGGAAUAACUCCCCGAAAGGGGUGCUAAUACCGGUUAUGGUCUCGGGACAAAAGAUUUAUCGCCUUUGGAUGGGCCCGCGUUGGAUUAGCUAGUUGGUAGGGUAAAAGCCUACCAAGGCGACGAUCCAUAGCUGGUCUGAGAGGAUGAUCAGCCACACUGGGACUGAGACACGGCCCAGACUCCUACGGGAGGCAGCAGUGGGGAAUAUUGGACAAUGGGCGAAAGCCUGAUCCAGCAAUGCCGCGUGAGUGAUGAAGGCCUUAGGGUUGUAAAGCUCUUUUACCCGGGAUGAUAAUGACAGUACCGGGAGAAUAAGCUCCGGCUAACUCCGUG
rnacentral:rRNA from 1 species